UACGUAGGGUGCGAGCGUUAAUCGGAAUUACUGGGCGUAAAGCGUGCGCAGGCGGUCUGUUAAGACCGAUGUGAAAUCCCCGGGCUUAACCUGGGAACUGCAUUGGUGACUGGCAGGCUUUGAGUGUGGCAGAGGGAGGUAGAAUUCCACGUGUAGCAGUGAAAUGCGUAGAGAUGUGGAGGAAUACCGAUGGCGAAGGCAGCCUCCUGGGCCAACACUGACGCUCAUGCACGGAAGCGUGGGGAGCAAACAGG
rnacentral:rRNA from 1 species